rnacentral:snRNA from 1 species
UAACUUAUCCCUGUGGAAGAUGCUAUGAUCAGCAAGUUUUUUCAGGGUGAGACCUGUCCAUUGCACUCUAGGCAAGCUGAUCCCUGUAAGUUUCCAAAAUGCAGGAAACUUGACUGCACAAUUUUGUGGUACUGUAAUGGGGGCCUGCGUUUGUUGUU